CAGCUGGUAGGGAGGCAGAGCAGGUCUUGGGGACCCAUGGCCAGACCAGUAGCCCAGGCAGCAUGGAACAGAAAGCUCCUGAGUGCCAUGUGCCCUGCUGCCUCCGCCCUCAGGCCCCACUACCUUCCGACCCACCUGGACCUAACCACCCCCGCUGGGGCACGCACUGAGGCUGGGCUCAGCGGUGUGCACAGUUCCUGUUUCUGGGAAUCACUCUUCCAGUCAGAUGGAGAAGAAGAGCCACCUUACCUCUGUGAAGGGGGUAAAUGGGAGACGGAGCAGGCAGGGACCCUGGCGCAGGCCCCCUCCUCCUCUCCCGAGUCUCACCUCCAGGAUGUCAGCGGUGGGGAUCUCCAUGGAUUCUGUUCCUCCGUAGUACAGAUACUGCAUCAUCAUCUGUGGUGGGAAGAGGCCCGGGUGAAUGCCACGUGGACCUGAGGCAUGAAAGUCCUUGCCGGCCCCACAGGGUACUGCUCCAGCUGCCACCUCCAGGGGCCUGUCCCUCUGCAGGUCCCCAGCUCUGUCUCUCCCUCCCUCUCCUGCUCAGGCUGAGACUUGUGUUUUCCCGGGAACGCCACCUCUAGAAGCCAACUCCAAGACCCUCUCUCCUGAGUCCCUGCCUGGAUGACAAGCUCCCUCCAUGGAAUGUUUCCCUACAAUCCUCAUAAGAACACCGUGAGCCCAGGAGGGAAGUUCCUAUCCGCAGUUGGGGAAACUGAGGCCCAGGGAAGGAAGAUGACUUGGCUCAAGUCCCUCAGCUCCCCUGAUGCCUGCAGCAGGACUCGCGUCAUGCCUGGCCCCACGUGACUCAUUGCUGGUAUGAUCUAGAUUCUACAUGGGGAGUAGCAGUGGGGGGUCUCUGAAGGGAUGUUGGAGGACGCUGUCUGCUGCCUUCCCCUGUCUGUACAAGGACUCCAAUGUGGAGGUAAGAGUCCAUCCGGACUCUGUCUCAGGUGUGCUCCCUCAACAACAAAGCGCAGAGCCCAGGCCCAGAGGCCCGGAGCUCCCCUCGACAGGUUGAGCCCCGCCUUGGGCUCCCAGAUGAGGUGGUCCAGGACCGGGAACUAUUUAGUUCUGCUGAGGUUUCAGUUACAAACGCGGCCAUCACGCUGGAGCCUAGUGAAGUUCCCAGUUGGAAAAAGAAAAACGAUUCUUUCUGGCUGGCUGAAGAAACGGCCCCAGCAAGGAGCUGGCAAGUGUGUAAGUAAACACGGCUCCAGCCGGCACAGUCGGGCUCUGUCAAGACCGGCCGUGAGGCUGCAGAGGCACCAGAGGGUCUAGGAGAAGGCCCAACUGCAGGGAGAGAAGUCGGGAGACGGGCCUGCCAGCCUCGUUCAGGCAUCAGGAGACGCUGGCCAAGGCCCACCCUGGAGAUGUCAGCCUCUCCCCACCUCUAGAGGUCUGAGAAGCUCCCACGGCCUUCUGCAGCCCCUACUGGAGCCUGGAUGGCGAGCUCACGAUUGCAUAGAUGCGCGCCUCACAGCCACAUGCUCGACCACUGUGACUGGGGUUCGAUGCCUGGGAGAAGUGACAGCCUCCACAGCCUCCAGCAGCACUUCUCAAACUGUACUGAGCACAUGGCCACCUGGGGAUCUUGUGAAGAUGCAGGAGGGCUGGGGCGGGGCCUGGGGCUCUGCAUUUCCAACAAGGUCUCAGAAAUGCCCAUUGGCUGGGAGCCCACCCUGAUAACAAGAACUCACUCCACGGCUGUGUGGCCUGUGUCUGUCCUUGCAUGUCUGUCUGCAGGCUGCCCAGACCACCUGUCUAGCGGUUAGAGCUCAGUGCCCAUGCAACAGGCUCUGAAGCUGCAGCCCCACAACGGGAUGGCUGCCUCUGCACAGAGAAAGACCUGGAUGCUCUAUUGAUUCAACAAAAUACAGAAGGCACUGGGAAUAGAGUGGACAAUGUCAGCCUACACACAGCUGCCCACAAAGGUGAGCUCCUGGGGGAGGGUCAUCCCUCCGAGAAGAGGGCGGCACCAAGACCCACACACCUGAAAAAUAUGGUACUUCAUGUCGCUGAUCUCAAUGGUCUUGCUGCUGUCCCCGUCCUGUUCUGAUUUAUUGGUCAUUAGUGUCUUGAACCUGGAGUAAAGGAGACAAAGCAAGGCGGAUUUUGAACCUUUUACUCCACCACUGUGUGGCGAUGGCACCAUCUGUCACCUGACCGGCUGCCAUGAGACGGAGCAUUUUAAACAUUAUUGCUGUGCUCCUAAAAUAAUUUUCAGCGAGUGCCAUUUUACACAAUCCUAGGAAGACAUCUGGGCUGAGCCCGAUUCUGUCCCCACCACCCACCAUACAAGCGACCUGACUCCUGUGGCCAGAAUGCUGACUCUUCAUUCCAGAAUAUGUUUGCUAAUAAUCAAAGCAAUAACUCGGUCAGAAAGAACACCACCUCAGAGCCCCCCUUCCCUGCUGCCCCGGGUCCACCCGGCCUUGUCCCGCUGUGGGGCGAGUGGGGCUCUGCUGCCACGUGACCGCAGUCUGAGGGGCACAGGCUGUAGGGUACAGCCCCAGCGAGUCACUCUCUGUCACCUCGAAUCUGAAACAAGGUGCUUCUGUGCCAUGGGCUGGGAGUUUGUUAUCUGAGGCUGCCUACCUGUUAGAAGCUGUCACCAGCAGGACUUUAUGUGCAUAAAACAGCUUUCCUUCCACUAGGAAGGUCACA